UGUGCCGCCGCGUGGGGGAAACCUCAUGAGGAAAGUCCGGGCUUCACAGGGCAGGAUAACGGGUAACGCCCGCCGGGGGAAACCCCAGGACAAGUGCAACAGAGAGAUACCGCCGCGCAGGCUCCUGCGCGGUAAGGGUGGAAAAGCGGAGAUAAGCGCCCGCUGUCGGCCGGGUAACCGGCUGUUCAUGUAAACUCUAUCCGAAGCAACACCCGACCGGAUCGCGGCUUUCGCCGCGGCGCUUGCCCGGCGCACAUCCGAGGAUGGUGGCAUGAGGCGCGCGGUAACGUGCGUCCACAGAUAGAUGGCGGCUCAGGCCUGCGCAAGCAGGCGGGACAGAACCCGGCUUACAGGCUC
rnacentral:RNase_P_RNA from 1 species